rnacentral:lncRNA from 1 species
GGAGCUAAUGAAUACAUGGCACGGAGUUGGUGGGCGCCUGAGAGAGCUACUCAGCUGUGAGGUCCUUCCCCUGGACUUGAGCACAGGCCUUCUGGCUCAGGGUGCUGAGGGAUGGUGCUCCCCUGUGAGGGGGGUGCCCGGGGCACCCCAGCCUCCCUCAGGAACUCCCAGGCCCCUCAGAAGCAGGAAGUUGGGCUGACCAAAGCUGUGGUAGCUCAGCUAUAUACAUGGCCCCUCUUGACCCUUCUCUGUGAACUGAGGUGCUCUACCUGACGGCCUCUUCACCAAGGGAAAAUGCUUCAGGCAUUUGGGAGCGUGCGCCCUGAGAAGGCCUCAGCAAGUUUUUGGAGAUUGUCCUUCACAGAAACGGGGUCCCAUUAUAUUGUCCAGGCUGGUCUCAAACUCCUGGGCUCGAGUGAUCUGCCCGCCUCAGCCUCUCAAAUUGUUGGGAUUACAGGCAUGAGCCGCCGCACCCGGCCUGACGAGGCUUCUUGCUGCACUUAAAGGAAUGACAGCUAUAGAGGGCAUAUGGGACUGGAAGGCAUCGGAUCCAUAACAUCCUCACGCCUUCUGGAAAUGUGAAAAAUGUUUCACAAAAGCACAGCCUAAGGCCUCAUGUGAUGAGGUGGGCUCUCCACAAGUUCCCGGGGCAGAGUCUGAAGACCUGCUGCUGGAUAGGGGCUUCCUCCUGGUCCCCAAGGGCCCGCCCUCUCAGGCCCACCUUGAGGCCACCCUGCUGGGCCACUUCCCGGAUUUUGGACAGCAUUGAUUGGAGCCGCCCGUUCUCCUCCUGUAGGACCCGGAUGCGGAUGUCGUUGGACUGCACUUGCCUCUCCAUGUGAUCUGUGACGUUGCCAGAGUCUGUGGGACAUGUUAUCUGGGAUUCCACGCUGCUGGAUCUGCCUCCUGUGCCCAAUGGGACAGGACCUUAGAAGGGAGGCACACCAGCUUGGGCAGGUGGCCUGGAGGCACAAAGGAGCUGUGUAGUGCACCAGGCCUCCUAGCUCAUCUUCCUUCUCCCGAGGCCUUAUUCCCCCUUCCCUGUCCCCCAACCUGCAGGGAAGAUGACCAUAGUAUUAUAAAAUCUGAGAGCUGGGUGGGACCUAGAGCUCUCAAAAGACUUAGCAAGGCCGGGCGCGGUGGCUCACGCCUGUAAUCCCAGCACUUUGGGAGGCCCAGGUCAGGGGAUCAUUAAGUCAAGAGAUCAAGACCAUCCUGGCCAACAUGGUGAAACCCCGUCUCUACUAAAAAUAGAAAAAUGAGCUGGGUGUGGUGGCGGGCCCCCGUAGUCCCAGCUACUCAGGAGGCUGAGGCAGGAGAAUCACUUGAACCCAGGAGGUGGAGGUUGCAGUGAGCAGAGAUUGUGCCACUGCACUCCAGCCUGGCAACAGAGUGAGACUCUGUCUCAAAAAAAAAAAAAAAAAAAAAAAGACUUAGCAAAUA